rnacentral:misc_RNA from 1 species
GAUGAAGAACGCAGCGAAAUGCGAUACGUAAUGUGAAUUGCAGAAUUCAGUGAAUCAUCGAAUCUUUGAACGCAUAUUGCGCUCUCUGGUAUUCCGGAGAGCAUGCUUGUUUGAGUAUCAGUAAACACCUCAACUUCCAUAUCUUUUUUGAAAUGGGAGUUGGACUUGAGUGAUCCCAACGCUUUUCCUCACCGAAAAGUGGCGGGUUACUUGAAAUGCAGGUGCAGCUGGACUUUUCUCUGAGCUAUAAGCAUAUCUAUUUAGUCUGCCUAAAAAACAGAUUAUUACCUUUGCUGCAGCUAACAUAAAGGAGAUUAGUUCUUGUGCUGACUGAUGCAGGAUUCACAAAGACAGGCUUCGGCCGACUUUGUAAACUCGAUCUCAAAUCAAGUAAGACUACCCGCUGAACUUAAGCAUAUCAAUAAGAGGAGGA